ensembl:lncRNA
CUAGAAAACAAGGAAGCAGGUGUCUCUGGAUGAGGGUCAUGAUGAACAACCAAACUCACCUGCUGUAUAAAAGAGAGGCGAAAAAUAAACUUGAGUGCUCGGUCUCUGGGAGCCCUCCCGACUCUAUCUCUUUGUCUUUAUUUUUCUUCAUCCUCACUCCCCCAUUCAGGUGCUGUUCGACAAGUGAUGGCGGGCUCCGUCAGAAAACACCGUGGAGGCCUCACGGGGCCCUGUGUGCACUGUGGGCCUCCCUCCCCUGCUGUAACUUGGGAGCGGAACAGAGAGCCCUGGGAGCCUGAGCUCUGACAGCCUUCUCCUGGGAGCCUGACCUCGGGUCACACUGACAGUCACUCAGCCCAGGCGGGACACGCUCCCCUCGGGUUGGCAGAAGCCACUGCUCCUCCUGGCAAGGUCACUGGGCUUCCCACAUCACCGGAGUCCAGGAAUAUUCCUCGUGUGUCGAGCAGGCUUUUCCCCCGGCUUUUCUAUGAGGACCAACGCUGUGGAGAUUCACCUUCGACUCCUCCAGCGAGGUAAUGCUUCUGCCAAAACGACCAUCCGUGGACUCACAGAAUGCUUCAUCCACCAUCAUGGAAUUCCUCACAACUUUGCCUCUGACCAAGGAGCACAUUUUACAGCAAAGAGACUGCGGUGUAAAGGAACGCCUCUGGGUGUUGAGGUGACCAGGCGUGGACAGUGAGUGGGUGUCAGCUUGAGUAGUAACACCCAGCUGGACUGGCUCAGCGUGGCUCUGCUGUGAAGACCCAGCUAGGGAGGACUGUGGCUGUAAUGCUACCCCAGGACAUGAAGGAGGGAGGGAGGGAGGCUUGUGUGUCCUCCAGGCUUCGCUUUCCCCUUGGAGGCCAUCUCCCAGCUUCCAGCGGACCUUCCGGCUCCUGAUUUGGACUGCAUGGGACACCACAUGGAGUUCCUGGGCUGUGGCUGGGUCCUUGGGACCCCGGGGUACAGACGGACCUUUCGCACUCAUCCCCACCCGACAGAAGCCAAGCCGCAAGUCUUAUCUAUUUGCAUAUUUUGUAUCACAUCUGCUUCUCUAGUAGGCACUGACACAUGUGUCAUGCGCAGGGACUGAGUGGUUCUUUCCCUUCUUCCCGGCUUUGUUUUAAGGCCCUAUGCUACAUCAGAUGUUGAACUAUCCCUGCAUUCCAGGAAAGCCCACCACAGUGUCACAAUGUAAACUCCUUUCAAUAAACAAUGAGUUCACGAGCUAUUGAACAAAUAGACUUAACAGAUGUUUACAGAGCGUUCCACCCCCACAAAAUCAGAAUACACAUUCUUUUUGGCUGCAUAUGGAUCGUUCUCCAAAAUAGACCACAUGCAAGCUCAUUGGACAUGUCUAAGUAAAAAAGGGGUAGGGAAAGUGGGAGGGGAAGGGGAAAGGAAAGAAAGGAAAGGAAAAAUUAUGAGAAAAGAAAAAAAAUGGAAAGGAAGUCUAUGUAAACAGGGAAGGGUGGAAGCGGUGAAGGGCACACAGGGAAUGGGGAAAAAAGAACCAAGUUAUAUCGUGUACAGGUACAAACACCCAAUGAUAAAUGUAAACGUACUGUAUACCUAAAAUGCACCAAUAAAAG